rnacentral:rRNA from 1 species
CACGGGGGGAGCAAGCGUUGUUCGGAAUCACUGGGCGUAAAGGGCGUGUAGGCGGUCAGGUCAGUGAGAUGUGAAAUCCCUCGGCUCACCCGAGGACCUGCAUCUCAUACUGCUUGGCUUGAGUACGGGAGAGGAUGUGGGAAUUCCUGGUGUAGCGGUGAAAUGCGUAGAUAUCAGGAGGAACACCGGUGGCGAAAGCGCACAUCUGGCCCGAGACUGACGCUGAUGCGCGAAAGCUAGGGGAGCAAACGGG